rnacentral:lncRNA from 1 species
GUCUCGGUGUAAUUCAGUUCACUUGUGCCAUGUCCCACAGCUACAGGAAAAUGUAUACAGUGAGGAGCCUGGAAUACAGUGGUGUUUCUCAGGGGACUUCCUUCUGCAUUUGUGUGACAUUUCCUCCUUCACCUGAUUCCCAAGAUAACUUGUUUCUCACUGGAACUUGAGCAGUCUGAGAGAUAAAGUCAGAAUCACUCCAUCCCGAAACAAGCUUUGUGAGUACUUCCCUCAGUGUGGCAUCGGGGGGGUCUCUACUGUUCCAUUUUUUCAGAAAUGGAG